rnacentral:lncRNA from 1 species
UUUUAUUUUAUUUUUCUUUCUUUUUUCUUUCCGAUAUAUUGUCAUUAUCGACAUUCUAUUUUUUAUAAAAUAGUAUCAGAGCUUUCGGGUUGUUUAUCUCAAUCAUGGUAAUGGCAUCUUUAAAGUAUGAAAUUCCGUUGUUGGAUUCCAACACCAGAUUCUCGUUGUGGUAGAUUAAGAUUCAAGUAGUUCUUGCGCUG